CCCCAGGAGAUUCACCUUGCAGAUUUGAGUCAGCUCAGCUCUUCUGGAGCUUCUGCCAAUCUUUUCCCGAGUCAGGACAGAACCCUGAGUAAAGGUAGAAGCUGCACAGUAACAGCAUCUGGGACAGAAAGCAGGGCUUGGAACCAUCAGGAUGAGACACCCCAACAAGAAGGUGAGAUGAGGCCAGAGAGUGGCCCUUCCCUGAUGCCGUGAGAACACCCAAACUUCCAGCUCUCAGAUCCCAUCUCGGAAGGGAGGCCUCUUGUCAUGGGGAGAUUGCUCUGACGGGGAACUGAAGUUUGCACCAACCAAGUCUCCAGUGAGAAGGAGUUACCUUUAGUUGCCAACAGUGUUUCUUUUCUCCUCACAUUUUAGUGCAUAAAUGAUAAACUUCCUGCAAAUGCUCUGGCCUCCACAUUUCAGCAAAUGAAAAAUUAAUUAAAUGGCCCCAGAACCACUGGCCAGACAAAUGCACUGCAGCUGUCACCACCUUCCAGAGCACUCUGAGGAGUCAGAGGGAAUGCAGCUUGCCAAGACACAGCCAUUCCAGGAUGGAGGCCCUGAGGAGGCAGCAGCCCAUUCCAGGUCAUGCACGGCCUUGACUGCAUCUCUGACCUUGAUGCCCCCAAGGAUUGUCCCCUUGUUGCCCAGUGGCAAGGCAUAGGGGCCAGAAGAGGAGCCAUGGCUUCCUUGAUGGGGGUGGGUGGAGAAACGUGCUCUGGGUUGCAAGCCAAUGAAGUGGGCAGUGGAAGCCGGCCCACCUGGGUAUGGAGAGAUGUCCCCUUCCUGGGAGGAUCAACUGUGUGCCUGGAUAGUGAUUCUUUAUCACUGGGGGCCCUGUUCUAGACUGUGGCUCUGCCUGGCAGACCCUGGCUCUGUCACCUUUAGAAACACUGCUGAGAAAUGCCACCCUUUGCUGAGGGCCCAGUGGGUGUUGCCCCUGGUUGCUGUGGGUGCUGACCUAAACUAUCUUACUUCACCUGAGGAAGCAGUGCUGCCCAAUGGUUAAAGUUAUCAUCUCUGGGGCUAGACCUGGGGCCAAGACUCCUAUAGCUGCUCACUUAAUGUCUCUGGAACUCAGUCUCUGUCUGUAAGUACUUCCCCAUAGGGCUGCUGAAGGCUAAAAUAAAGUGCUUAGACCAAAGAGUAGAAACAUUCCCAAUAUCCAUCAGUGGAUGAGUGGGUAAACAAAAUGUGGUCUAUCCCCACAGUGGAAUAUUAUUCAGUCAUGAAAAGGAAUGAAGCAUUGAUCCAUACUACAUCUGAUGAACCUUGAAAAGAUCAUGCUAAGUGAAAGAGGCCAGAUGCAAAAAGCCACACAUUGUAUGAGUCCAUUGAUAGGAAAAGUCCAGAAUAGGCAAAUCCACAGGGAUAAGAAGCAGAUGAGUAAUUUCCAGGGUCUGGGGGAAUGGGAUAUGGGGAGUGACUGCUAAAGGGUGUGGUGCUUCUUUUUGAGGGCAAUGAAAAUGUUCUGAAAUUAGUGGUGAUGGUUGUAUAACUUUGUGAAUAUACUAAAACCACUGAAUUGCACACUUUAAAAGGGUGAAUUUUGUGGCAUUUAAAUUAUGUCUCAAUAAAAAAUGUGUAGCAAAAAGAAUUAGGAGUGAAUAUAGAAUUUAUGUGCAAAUGAAUGUUUAUUGAUGGGAAAUCAAAUGAACUUAAAUAUACAUCUGUGAGGUAACAUGCAUUAUG